CCUACGGGAGGCAGCAGUGAGGAAUAUUGGACAAUGGGCGCAAGCCUGAUCCAGCCAUGCCGCGUGCAGGAUGACGGUCCUAUGGAUUGUAAACUGCUUUUGUACAGGAAGAAACAGUUCUACGUGUAGAACCUUGACGGUACUGUAAGAAUAAGGAUCGGCUAACUCCGUGCCAGCAGCCGCGGUAAUACGGAGGAUCCAAGCGUUAUCCGGAAUCAUUGGGUUUAAAGGGUCCGUAGGCGGUUUAGUAAGUCAGUGGUGAAAGCCCAUCGCUCAACGGUGGAACGGCCAUUGAUACUGCUAAACUUGAAUUAUUAGGAAGUAACUAGAAUAUGUAGUGUAGCGGUGAAAUGCUUAGAGAUUACAUGGAAUACCAAUUGCGAAGGCAGGUUACUACUAAUGGAUUGACGCUGAUGGACGAAAGCGUGGGUAGCGAACAGGAUUAGAUACCCUGGUAGUCCACGCCGUAAACGAUGGAUACUAGCUGUUGGAAGCAAUUUCAGUGGCUAAGCGAAAGUGAUAAGUAUCCCACCUGGGGAGUACGUUCGCAAGAAUGAAACUCAAUGAAUUGAGNGNGAGAGAGCGACGACGACGACGAGGGAGGAGG
rnacentral:rRNA from 1 species